CACCAUCAUCCACGGCAAAUCAUUCCGAGCUGUUACAAAAAUGGCCGUUGCGUUGAGGUAUCAACUACAAAGGUUUCGGACCCUUUUUCGGGUGCGUCAAUUUAAAAGUCCCCGCUUUAAUUUAAAUGAUUAUUCUCUUUUCCCGCUUCUUGGGUUGAUAGUGCUGCUAUCUUUAAUAAUUGAUGUUUUUGCUAUGAACAGUAAGUAAGGCAGGUUGUUGUUGGUCUGGAUUGUUAUCAGUGUCUUCGUCAUCAAAACAUGCCAAUAUUCUUUCUUGUA